GAUGAACGCUGACAGAAUGCUUAACACAUGCAAGUCGAUGGGGAAGUGGUGCUUGCACCAUGGUAACCAUGGCGGACGGGUGAGUAACGCGUAAAGAACUUGCCUGCGGGACUGGGAUAACAGCAGGAAACUGCUGAUAAUACCGGAUAAGGUCAUUAAGCUGCAUAGCUUAGUGAUGAAAGGAGACGCCUGCGGAGAGCCUUGCGUCCUAUUAGCUAGUUGGAGGGGUAACGGCCCACCAAGGCGAAGAUAGGUAGCCGGCCUGAGAGGGUGGACGGCCACAAGGGGACUGAGAUACGGCCCUUACGCCUACGGAAGGCAGCAGUGGGGAAUAUUGGACAAUGGGGGCAACCCUGAUCCAGCAAUUCUGUGUGCACGAAGACGGUUUUCGGAUUGUAAAGUGCUUUCAGCAGGGAAGAAGGAAGUGACGGUACCUGCAGAAGAAGCGACGGCUAAAUACGUG
rnacentral:rRNA from 1 species